rnacentral:rRNA from 1 species
GCAGCAGCCGCGGGAAUACGUAGGUGGCAUGCGUUGUCCGGAAUUAUUGGGCGUAAAGGGCUCGCAGGCGGUUUCUUAAGUCUGAUGUGAAGGCCCCCGGCUCAACCGGGGAGGGUCAUUGGAAACUGGGAAACUUGAGUGCAGAAGAGGAGAGUGGAAUUCCACGUGUAGCGGUGAAAUGCGUAGAGAUGUGGAGGAGCACCAGAGGCGAAGGCGACUCUCUGGUCUGUAACUGACGCUGAGGAGCGAAAGCGUGGGGAGCGAACAGGAUUAGAUACCCCCGUAGUCCCUGUCUCUUAUAA